rnacentral:rRNA from 1 species
GGGGAAUCUUGCGCAAUGGGCGAAAGCCUGACGCAGCCAUGCCGCGUGAAUGAUGAAGGUCUUAGGAUUGUAAAAUUCUUUCACCGGGGACGAUAAUGACGGUACCCGGAGAAGAAGCCCCGGCUAACUUCGUG